rnacentral:sRNA from 1 species
UUUUUAUGUGGGUUUU